AGAAUCAACGCUGGCGGCGUGCCUCAGACAUGCAAGUCGAACGAUUAAAGCUCUCUUCGGAGAGUGUAUAGAGUGGCGCACGGGUGAGUAACACGUAAGUAAUCUACCUUCGAGUGGGGAAUAACCCGGGGAAACCGAGCUAAUACCGCAUAAUGCAGCGGCAUCUAAUGAUGACAGUUGUUAAAGAUUUAUCGCUUGAAGAGGAGCUUGCGGCAGAUUAGCUAGUUGGUAAGGUAAUGGCUUACCAAGGCUACGAUCUGUAACCGGUCUAAGAGGACGGUCGGUCACACUGACACUGAAUAACGGGUCAGACUCCUACGGAGGCAGCAGUCGGGAAUUUUGGCAAUGGCGAAAGCCUGACCCAGCAACGCCGCGUGAAGGAUGAAGUAUUUCGGUAUGUAAACUUCGAAAGAAUAGGGAAGAAGUAAAGUAGACGGUAACCAGUUUUAAGUAAAGGUCCGACUUAACUACGUUAGACCAGCAAGCCGC
rnacentral:rRNA from 1 species